CUAACGUGGACCCGUGAUCCGGGUUGCGGACAGUGUCUGGUGGGUAGUUUGACUGGGGCGGUCUCCUCCUAAAGAGUAACGGAGGAGCACGAAGGUUGGCUAAUCCUGGUCGGACAUCAGGAGGUUAGUGCAAUGGCAUAAGCCAGCUUGACUGCGAGCGUGACGGCGCGAGCAGGUGCGAAAGCAGGUCAUAGUGAUCCGGUGGUUCUGAAUGGAAGGGCCAUCGCUCAACGGAUAAAAGGUACUCCGGGGAUAACAGGCUGAUACCGCCCAAGAGUUCAUAUCGACGGCGGUGUUUGGCACCUCGAUGUCGGCUCAUCACAUCCUGGGGCUGAAGUAGGUCCCAAGGGUAUGGCUGUUCGCCAUUUAAAGUGGUACGCGAGCUGGGUUUAGAACGUCGUGAGACAGUUCGGUCCCUAUCUGCCGUGGGCGCUGGAGAACUGAGGGGGGCUGCUCCUAGUACGAGAGGACCGGAGUGGACGCAUCACUGGUGUUCGGGUUGUCAUGCCAAUGGCACUGCCCGGUAGCUAAAUGCGGAAGAGAUAAGUGCUGAAAGCAUCUAAGCACGAAACUUGCCCCGAGAUGAGUUCUCCCUGAGACUUUAGGUCUCCUGAAGGAACGUUGAAGACGACGACGUUGAUAGGCCGGGUGUGUAAGCGCAGCGAUGCGUUGAGCUAACCGGUACUAAUGAACCGUGAGGCUUAACCUU
rnacentral:rRNA from 1 species